rnacentral:rRNA from 1 species
UACGGAGGGGGCUAGCGUUGUUCGGAAUUACUGGGCGUAAAGGGCGCGUAGGCGGCCUGUUAAGUCGAACGUGAAAUCCCCGGGCUCAACCCGGGAACUGCGUCCGAUACUGGCAGGCUUGAAUCCGGGAGAGGGAUGCGGAAUUCCAGGUGUAGCGGUGAAAUGCGUAGGAUAUCUGGAGGAACACCGGUGGCGAAGGCGCAUCCUGGACCGGCAUUGACGCUGAGGCGCGAAAGCCAGGGGAGCAAACGGG